rnacentral:tRNA from 1 species
ACUUUCUUAGUAUAAUCAGUAUAUCUGACUUCCAAUCAGUUGGUUCUAGUAAGACUCUAGAAGAAAGUA